rnacentral:rRNA from 1 species
UACGGGGGGGCAAGCGUUGUUUCGGAAUUACUGGGCGUAAAGCGCACGUAGGUGGCGACGUAAGUCGGGUGUGAAAUCCCUGGGCUCAACCUGGGAACUGCAUCUGUGACUGCAUUGCUGGAGUGCGGCAGAGGGGGAUGGAAUUCCGCGUGUAGCAGUGAAAUGCGUAGAUAUGGCGGAGGAACACCGAUGGCGGAAGGCAGUCCCCGUGGGCCUGUACUGACGCUCAUGACACGAAAGCGUGGGGGAGCAAACAGG